GAUAAACGCUGGCGGCGUGCGUGAGACAUGCAAGUCGAACGAAGGAUCGGGCUUGCUCGAUCCUUAGUGGCGGACGGCUGAGUAACGCGUAGGUGACCUACCCCGAAGUGGGGAAUAACUGCCCGAAAGGGUGGCUAAUACCGCAUGUGGUCGCACGUUCAUUCGUGCGAGUAAAGCCGCAAGGCGCUUCGGGAGGGGCCUGCGUCCGAUUAGCUCGUUGGUUGGGUAAUGGCUUACCAAGGCGAGGAUCGGGAGGUGGGCUGAGAGGACGAUCACCCAGACUGGGACUGAGACACGGCCGAGACUCCUACGGGAGGCAGCAGCCGGGAAUGUUGCUCAAGGGGGGAAACCCUGAAGCAGCAACGCCGCGUGAGGGAUGAAGGCCUUCGGGUUGUAAACCUCUUUUGUCAGGGACGAUGAUGACGGUACCUGGCGAAUAAGCCACGGCUAACUACGUG
rnacentral:rRNA from 1 species